GACGAACGCUGGCAGCGUGCCUAAUACAUGCAAGUAGAACGCACAGUUUAUACCGUAGCUUGCUACACCAUAGACUGUGAGUUGCGAACGGGUGAGUAACGCGUAGGUAACCUGCCUGGUAGCGGGGGAUAACUAUUGGAAACGAUAGCUAAUACCGCAUAAUAUUAAUUAUUGCAUGAUAAUUAAUUGAAAGGUGCAAUUGCACCACUACCAGAUGGACCUGCGUUGUAUUAGCUAGUAGGUGAGGUAACGGCUCACCUAGGCGACGAUACAUAGCCGACCUGAGAGGGUGAUCGGCCACACUGGGACUGAGACACGGCCCAGACUCCUACGGGAGGCAGCAGUAGGGAAUCUUCGGCAAUGGACGAAAGUCUGACCGAGCAACGCCGCGUGAGUGAAGAAGGUUUUCGGAUCGUAAAGCUCUGUUGUAAGAGAAGAACGGGUGUGAGAGUGGAAAGUUCACACUGUGACGGUAUCUUACCAGAAAGGGACGGCUAACUACGUG
rnacentral:rRNA from 1 species